rnacentral:tRNA from 1 species
UAUAUUUUAGUAUAAGAUGUACAGGGGUUUUUGAUACUCAAAGAAUUAGUUUAAUUCUAUUAAAUAUAA